CUACGGGCGGCUGCAGUGGGGAAUAUUGCACAAUGGAGGAAACUCUGAUGCAGCAACGCCGCGUGGAGGAUGACACUUUUCGGAGCGUAAACUCCUUUUAUAUAGGAAGAAGAUGACGGUACUAUAUGAAUAAGCGCCGGCUAGCUCCGUGCCAGCAGCCGCGGUAAUACGGAGGGCGCAAGCGUUACUCGGAAUCACUGGACGUAAAGAGCGUGUAGGCGGAUUAAAAAGUCAGAAGUGAAAUCCUAUAGCUUAACUAUAGAACUGCUUCUGAAACUCUUAAUCUAGAAUAUGGGAGAGGGAGAUGGAAUUUCUGGUGUAGGGGUAAAAUCCGUAGAGAUCAGAAGGAAUACCGAUUGCGAAGGCGAUCUACUAGAACAUUAUUGACGCUGAGACGCGAAAGCGUGGGGAGCAAACAGGAUUAGAUACCCCGGUAGUC
rnacentral:rRNA from 1 species